rnacentral:tRNA from 1 species
AGCCCUGUGGUGUAGAGGCCAAGCAUAGCGGACUUUGGAUCCGUUGACCGCGGUUCGAAUCCGCGCAGGGCUA